GUUUACGGCCAUACCACUGAGAAAGCACCAGUUCUCGUCCGAUCACAGAACUUGAAGUCAGUAUGGCUCGGUUAGUACUUGGACGGGUGACCGGCUGGGAAUACCGUGUGCUGUAGGCA
rnacentral:rRNA from 2 species